rnacentral:misc_RNA from 1 species
UUUUUUUUUUCUUCUUUCUUCUUUGGAUCUGCAUUUCUUUGGGGAUUUGUAGCGUUUUUAACAAUUUUGUUUUCGUUUCUGUUAGAUUUGUGAUAAUGUAUUGUUUCUUUCUUCUAAUUUUGUCAUGGAAAAGCUAGAUCUGUGUGUAUUUGUUAUUUGCCUUUAGACGUAGAAUCGGAUCUGUGAGGUUUGAUUGUGUGCUGUUAUUGCUUAAGAUCUGGUUUUUAAUAUGGUUUGAAUAUGUGAGUAAUGGGCUAUUGAUAUGUUUUGGAAUUUGUUUUCUUUGUUCAGCCUGAUGGCCAGAUGCCAG